rnacentral:rRNA from 1 species
AUGGCCAUCUUCGACGAGUUUUACGUUGGGACCAUUGACCUCGGUCGCCUCAACUAUGGGAUCAUUUCGCUCAUCCCCAAAGUGCCUGGGGCCUCCGAUAUUCGCCAGUUUCGACCGAUCAUGGUGAUCAAUUUGAUCUUCCAGAUUCUGGCAAAAGGGUAUGCCAAUAGGGUGACCCUGCUCGCUGACCACAUUACCCACCCCAACCAGUCCGCCUUCGUGCGAGGGCGAUAUAUCCUGGAUGGGGUGCUGGUCCUCCAUGAGGUCCGGUCUAAACACCUCAAGGUGGUCUUCCUGAAGAUAGAUUUUCAUAAGGCAUACAACACUAUUAGUUGGUCCUUCCUUCGGGAAGUUCUG